UAUGUGUUUUUUAGUGGAGGAUGGAGAGAAUCGGGAGGGAGGCAUUGAUGGAUAUGGAGACAGGCAGAGAGCUGAAAACAGAUCUGCAAAAGACCUGGAAGCCAGGAAAGAGUGUUGAUGUCAGCAGGGAAAAAGUGAGCUACCUUAAGAUGGAGAGCAAGAGGGAAGAACUGACAGAGUCAAACUGGUUCAUCCAAUUGGAGAACUUGGGAGAUAUGGGUAGACUGAGAGACAUUGAAAAACAUCAAGAAAGAAUGAGAGAGAUCGAGAGACGCACUGACAUUGCAAGACAUGAAAUUAGAGAGUCGGAAAAACUGAGACAGAAACAGAGGCAGAUGAAACAUGGGGAGGAGAUGUUAAACAUGAAAAGAGACUUUUAUGAGAGACAGAGCAUAAUCGAGAGACGACUAGAGGAAAAAAUAAGACGAAUGGAAGAGAGAGAAAGAGAGAGGGUGAUGAAAAAAGAAUGGGAAGAAAGUCAGCAUCAGGAGUCGCAGACAGGAGUCAAAGACACGGAGCACAGGUUUCCUAAGGAGAGACAAAUAGAGGAAAAGAGACACGAAGAAAGUCUGAUUCGGCUUGAAAGUAGAUGCCAACAGGAGUGGGAAGAGAAGAUACUGGAAUUGGAGCGUGAACUAGUGAUAAAGGAAGAGAUGUCAAAGAAGAGAGAGGAGCAAUUGUUGAGACAGCUUGAACAGGAACACCAGACUAAAGUGGGGGGAGUUAGAAAGACAUGGACAGAAAUGGAGAGAAACACAACUAUGAAAAGCCUGACAGGAACACACAUGGUGAGAGACCUCGAUCUACAAGGAGGUGGAAGGCAUCAGACAGAAGAAAAUGACUCUGAAAGAGAGUUAUAUGAAAGACAGAUAGCUAUGAGGAAACAAGAGAUGAUUGAGCGUGAGAGAGACAUUUUAAGCGAUAAAGAGAGACGGCUUCAGAUGGAGGAACAGCUUAAGAAAAUGGAGAGGAAAUUUGAGAUGGAGAGAGAGAUGGAGCGAAAGAGUCAUGAGGAAAGAUGGAUGAAAAUUGAGGAGAAACAAAAGGAAUGGGAGAAGAGGACCAGAGAGUUAGAGGGAAAGCUGGAGGAAGAGAGACAGGCAGCACAGAAAAGAGAACAAGAGUUGCUGAAGGACAUAGAAGAGGAAGAAACAGCAAAAGAGUCAGAGCUGAUGAAAAUGGAAAAGCAGAAGGAGACUGGGGUGGAGGAAAAAAGAACAACUGGUGUGGAGAAACUGAUAAACAGAGGAAAGGAAUGGAUGAGAGAAAUCAAACAAAAAGUAGAGAAAAAGAAAGAUGUUGUUGAGGCCAGGUUGCAAGAUGGAGAGGGAUUUGUGGAUGAACAAGAAGUAAAAGACAAAGACAGUGAAAAAGAUGGAAAAAGUAUGGCAGAGCUGGAGAAACCAGUCAAGGGAAUAGAAUGGUUGAGAGAAUUCAGAUUAAAAGAGGAGAAAAUGUAUGAUCCAGGACAAGAGAUACUAGUGGAGGAAGAAAGACAAGAAAGAAAGACAAGGAACUGUGGGCAAAUGGAAGCGAGGAGGGAGGUGGAAAAGAAACAAGAGGAAUUGGUAGAUGGAGAAAUGGGUCAAAAGAGAAGUGAGAAAAGAUUGAGUGAUAUUAAGAAGAAGCGUCAGAAAGCAGAAGAAAUGCUGAGGAAACCAAGUGAAAUAAAGAUGGAAGGAAAAACUAGCACUGAUAAAGAAGAAAAAAUAAUGACAGUUAUGAAGACAUUGGAAACUACAAAGACAAAUACCCUUAAAACUAAAGGGAUGGAAUGGCUGGAAGAAGUUAGGCAAGACAGUAGAGAGAGGGUGAGUGAGAGAAAAAUGGAAGGAAAACAGUUGGAGAGAGAGACACAAUUUGAUAACUGGUUUGGAGAAAUAGACCGGAAGUUUGAAAAGGAGAGAGAAAUGGAGCAAAAGCGAAGUGAAGAAAGGUGGAGUGAGCUUAGGAGCAAUCAAAGGAGGCGGGUGGAAAACACACACGAAUUACAUAAAAAGAAUGAGAAAGAAAUUAAAGGACAUGAGCUGGUGAAUCAGACUGAGGUUGACCAGAAAACCAAUGAGGAGAGACCAGUUGACAUGGAAAAAAGAAUAAUCGGGAUGGAGAUAAAGCCAGCUUACAAAAAAAUGUCAUGGCAGG
rnacentral:lncRNA from 1 species